GACGAACGCUGGCGGCGUGCUUAACACAUGCAAGUCGAGCGGAAAGGCCACUUCGGUGGUACUCGAGCGGCGAACGGGUGAGUAACACGUGAGUAAUCUGCCCUGGACUUUGGGAUAGCCACCGGAAACGGUGAUUAAUACCGGAUAUGACCUGAUGCCGCAUGGUGUUGGGUGGAAAGUUUUUCGGUUCAGGAUGUGCU
rnacentral:rRNA from 1 species